rnacentral:rRNA from 1 species
UACGUAGGGGGCAAGCGUUGUCCGGAAUCAUUGGGCGUAAAGAGCGUGUAGGCGGCUUGGUAAGUCCGCUGUGAAAGUCCAGGGCUCAACCCUGGAAAGCCGGUGGAAACUGUCAAGCUUGAGUCCGGACGAGGCGAGUGGAAUUCCUGGUGUAGCGGUGAAAUGCGCAGAUAUCAGGAGGAACACCAAUGGCGAAGGCAGCUCGCUGGGACGGUACUGACGCUGAGACGCGAAAGCGUGGGGAGCAAACAGG